GCUUUGCGCACGCCGCGCACCGCAUCCUCAAAUACAAGAAUGACGGUCUCUCUGUGCCUCAGUUUUCUCACCGUAAAGGGAUCCUGCGCAGCCGAGGCUGUGUUAGCGCCAAGGACUUCCAGCAGCUGUUAGCAGAGCUUGAGCAGGAGGUGGAGCGACGGCGGCGGCUGGGGCAGGAGUCAGCAGCUAGGAAAGCCCUCAUCGCGAGUUCCUACCACCCGGCACGGCCUGAGGUCUACGACUCACUGCAGGAUGCAGCUCUGGCCCCCGAGUUUCUGGCCGUGGCUGAGUACAGCGUGUCCCCGGGCGCAGACCUCAAGGGCCUUCUCCAGCGGCUGGAGACAGUAUCGGAGGAGAAGCGCAUCUACCGGGUGCCUGUGUUCACAGCACCCUUCUGCCAGGCCUUGCUGGAAGAGCUGGAGCACUUCGAGCAGUCGGACAUGCCUAAGGGGAGGCCCAACACCAUGAACAACUAUGGGGUGCUGCUGCACGAGCUUGGGCUGGACGAGCCGCUGAUGACACCACUGCGGGAGCGCUUCCUGCAGCCACUGAUGGCCCUGCUGUACCCUGACUGUG
rnacentral:sRNA from 1 species